rnacentral:rRNA from 1 species
GACGAACGCUGGCGGCGUGCUUAACACAUGCAAGUCGAACGGAAAGGCCCUGCUUUUGUGGGGUGCUCGAGUGGCGAACGGGUGAGUAACACGUGAGUAACCUGCCCUUCACUUUGGGAUAACUUCAGGAAACUGGGGCUAAUACCGGAUAGGAGCUCCUGCUGCAUGGUGGGGGUUGGAAAUUUUCGGCGGUUGGGGAUGGACUCGCGGCUUAUCAGCUUGUUGGUGGGGGAGUGGCUUACCAAGGCUUUGACGGGUAGCCGGCCUGGGAGGGUGACCGGGGACAUGGGUACUGAGGGACGGAGCAGAGUCGUACGGGAGGCAGCAGUGGGGAGUAUUGCACAGUGAGCGCGAGUCUGUUGCAGCGGCGUCCGGUGCGUGAAGACGGCCUGUGGGGUGUGAACCGCUGUAGCCUGUGACGAAGCGGGAGUGACGGUACUGGGUGAAGAAGCACCGGCUAACUACGUG